UACGAAGGGGGCUAGCGUUGCUCGGAAUCACUGGGCGUAAAGCGCACGUAGGCGGAUCUUUAAGUCGGGGGUGAAAUCCUGGAGCUCAACUCCAGAACUGCCUUCGAUACUGAGGACCUUGAGUCCGGGAGAGGUGAGUGGAACUGCGAGUGUAGAGGUGAAAUUCGUAGAUAUUCGCAAGAACACCAGUGGCGAAGGCGGCUCACUGGCCCGGUACUGACGCUGAGGCGCGAAAGCUAGGGGAGCAAACGGG
rnacentral:rRNA from 1 species